CCCGCAGUGCGAGUGCAUGGCUCCGCGAGGAGUCCACCGGUCAUCCACCGGUCAUCCACCGGAACCGGGCGAGGAGCAGAAACACCGCGGCCCCGGGAACAGGUUGAGCCGUUGACGGGAGGAGGCGGAGCUUGGGCGUUCGAUUCCUCUGAUUAUGGCUGAACACCCGGAGUCUUCUCCCAGUCCAGAAAUCCCACUCUCUGUGGCUUCGUAGUAAACUGACCUGGGCUCAGAAACACGUACAGAACUUUACUGAAGAACCAAUCAGAUGAUCCCAAACGGCCUGAGCCCCUGAAUCCUCUGAACUUCACAUGUUCACGUGACUUUAUGACUUUCAAACCUCUGAGGUCAGUGAUUCAGCUUCUGUUCACUCUCGACUUAUUCCCACAAAUAAAAAACUUCAUCCCAUCUCCCAGAAGCAGUUUGAGGAUCUGAUGGAAACCAGAGUCAAAGCUCCUCUUCACCUCCAGAGCAUCUCUAACUCCAUCUUCAUUCUGAGGAACCAAAGGGUUCAGAUCACUGCUCUUCAGACUCUGAGCCUCACGUCCUGUUCACAGUAUUUACAUGUGCACAUCACAGAGUUCCACUGAUUCCUGACUCACACACAAACGUCACACAACCGGCUUCAAACCACAAGUCAAAUUAAAACAGAGGAAAAAUAAACCACAGCAGGUUUUGACCUCCAGGGGAAACUGAGAAGAUCAUGUGAAAGUUCUCUGUGACUCUGAAGAGCACUUGAACCCACACAGUGACUCAGGAGGAGAGGAGGACGCUGGGGCAGCUCAGGCUCAUGUCUGGGCUUCAGGAGCUAAUACCAGUAUUUGAUCAUAAUAAAUGUAUGAAUUCUGAAAA